GACGAACGCUGGCGGCGUGCUUAACACAUGCAAGUCGAACGGAAAGGCCCUUUCGGGGGUACUCGAGUGGCGAACGGGUGAGUAACACGUGGGUGAUCUGCCCUGCACUUUGGGAUAAGCCUGGGAAACUGGGUCUAAUACCGGAUAGGACCACGGUCUGCAUGGAUUGUGGUGGAAAGCUUUUGCGGUGUGGGAUGGGCCCGCGGCCUAUCAGCUUGUUGGUGGGGUGAUGGCCUACCAAGGCGACGACGGGUAGCCGGCCUGAGAGGGUGACCGGCCACACUGGGACUGAGAUACGGCCCAGACUCCUACGGGAGGCAGCAGUGGGGAAUAUUGCACAAUGGGCGCAAGCCUGAUGCAGCGACGCCGCGUGGGGGAUGACGGCCUUCGGGUUGUAAACCUCUUUCAGCAUCGACGAAGCGCAAGUGACGGUAGAUGCAGAAGAAGCACCGGCCAACUACGUGCCAGCAGCCGCGGUAAUACGUAGGGUGCGAGCGUUGUCCGGAAUUACUGGGCGUAAAGAGCUCGUAGGUGGUUUGUCGCGUCGUCCGUGAAAACUCACAACUCAAUUGUGGGCGUGCGGGCGAUACGGGCAGACUUGAGUACUGCAGGGGAGACUGGAAUUCCUGGUGUAGCGGUGGAAUGCGCAGAUAUCAGGAGGAACACUGGUGGCGAAGGCGGGUCUCUGGGCAGUAACUGACGCUGAGGAGCGAAAGCGUGGGGAGCGAACAGGAUUAGAUACCCUGGUAGUCCACGCCGUAAACGGUGGGUACUAGGUGUGGGUUUCCUUCCUUGGGAUCCGUGCCGUAGCUAACGCAUUAAGUACCCCGCCUGGGGAGUACGGCCGCAAGGCUAAAACUCAAAGGAAUUGACGGGGGCCCGCACAAGCGGCGGAGUAUGUGGAUUAAUUCGAUGCAACGCGAAGAACCUUACCUGGGUUUGACAUGCACAGGACGCCGGCAGAGAUGUCGGUUCCCUUGUGGCCUGUGUGCAGGUGGUGCAUGGCUGUCGUCAGCUCGUGUCAUGAGAUGUUGGGUUAAGUCCCGCAACGAGCGCAACCCUUGUCCUAUGUUGCCAGCACGUAAUGGUGGGGACUCGUAGGAGACUGCCGGGGUCAACUCGGAGGAAGGUGGGGAUGACGUCAAGUCAUCAUGCCCCUUAUGUCCAGGGCUUCACACAUGCUACAAUGGCCGGUACAAAGGGCUGCGAUGCCGUGAGGUGGAGCGAAUCCUUUCAAAGCCGGUCUCAGUUCGGAUCGGGGUCUGCAACUCGACCCCGUGAAGUCGGAGUCGCUAGUAAUCGCAGAUCAGCAACGCUGCGGUGAAUACGUUCCCGGGCCUUGUACACACCGCCCG
rnacentral:rRNA from 1 species